rnacentral:rRNA from 1 species
GACGAACGCUGGCGGCGUGCUUAACACAUGCAAGUCGAACGGAAAGGCCCUGCUCUUGUGGGGUGCUCGAGUGGCGAACGGGUGAGUAACACGCGAGUAAACUGUCCUUGACUUUGGGAUAACUUCAGGAAAAUGGGGCGAAUACCGGAUAGGAGCUUCUGCAGCAUGGGGGGGGUUGGAAAGAUUCGGCGGUUGGGGAUGGACUCGCGGCUUAUCAGCUUGUUGGUGGGGUAGUGGCUUACCAAGGCUUCGAAGGGUAGCCGGCCUGAGAGGGUGACCGGCCACAUUGGGCCUGAGGUACGGCCCAGACUCCUACGGGCGGCAGCAGUGGGGAAUAUUGCGCAAUGGGCGGGAGCCUGAUGCGGCAACGCCGCGUGCGGGAUGACGGCCUUCGGGUUGUAAACCGCUUUCGCCUGUGCCGAAGCGUGAGUGACGGUAAUGGGUAAAGAAGCACCGGCUAACUACGUG